AUGAGUACCCCGUACCAUCCUCAAACUGAUGGCCAGUCGGAGAGAGUUAAUCAAUGUCUUGAGAUCUACCUAAGGUGCUUCAUCCAUGUCUGUCCCAACCACUGGAGCCAAUUCCUUGCGCUUGCCAAAUUUUGGUACAACUCCAGUCACCAUUCAGCCAUCAACAUGUCGCCUUUUCAAGCAUUGUAUGGACAUGAGCCUCGGCACUGGGGAAUUGAAGCAGCAUCGGUGUGCAAGAUUCCAGAGCUCAAGGAGUGGCUAGAAGAAAGAAAGACCAUGCAACAAGUUCUCAAGCAGCACCUACACCGUGCGCGGCACAUUAUGAAGGUUCAAGCCGACAAGAAGCGAUCUGUGCGAGAGUUCGAGGUGGGAGACGCUGCGUUCGUCAAGCUGCAGCCGUACGUGCAGUCCUCAGUACAUCGCCGAGCAAACCACCAAGUACUUUGGUCCGUUCAAGAUCUUACGGCGCAUCAAUCCGGUGGCCUAUGA
rnacentral:rRNA from 1 species